AGUUCUAGGCAAAGAGCAAGGCCGUUGCGCUCGUCUGCCUCGGAAAGUGGCUCCUCAGUGCCCUCAGACAAGUAAGUGUCAACUGUGCAGCAGACCUCUCAGAUCCAGGCAGCAUGUCCCUGCUCACCACUAGGCCCAUCUCAGCAGUCCAGGUGGACAUCCCCUGGAGCCUCUGUCACUCCCCCUGGUCACGCCAGAGAUUGGAGAAGAUGAAGAUAUCAGAAGGUGUAAUGCUGGCAUUGUUCCAUAGCAACGGGCCUUAGGUACAUGGCAGAAAAAGAGAGAGAAAAAGUUGUUCCCUUCUCAUAGUGUCCCUACCUGGAGUUAGCUGUCAGCCAAAAGCACUUUAAUGUAUCACGUCCUGGUGGCUACACAGGUUACACAAUUGUCAAAACCCAUUGGGCUGCACACUUAAUACCUAUGCAUUUUGUUGUAUGUUCAUUAUCUCAACAUUUUUUUCAAUAAAAAAAUUAAACUAGAAAACAAUGCUUCAUCUGCUAAUUAGCACUGUAAGACUAGGUGUAGAUGUACAUGUACAUAAAUCUGUCUUUCCCGUGGUCUCUCUGGUAGGCAGGGACCUUGAGCCAGGAUUCCUUCCCUCCCUUCCCUCGAACCCCACUUUCUCCCCAUGGCUCCCUGACCCAUGCACAGCCACCUAGCAGGUCCUUCUGCCUCUGUGCUUGGCACUUUCCAUCCAUUGUCCUCACAGCUACCCCAGUGACCUUUGUAAAAUGCAGCUAUGUCAUAUUAU
rnacentral:lncRNA from 1 species